GGGGAGUCAGGCCCCGGAGGCGCUAGGCGCCUGCGCCAGUGUGUAAAAUCGAUAUACCAUACUGGACGUCAACGGCCGGGCCGUGAACUCUCUCCCUACUCGUUUCACACCAACAACCCCACAGUUGGAAAUCUUUCAUCUUCUCGCCUUCUUCGUCCUCCCGCUAUAGCUCAUUCUUUUCCGGCAGAACAACACGCACACAACACACGCACUUCCACACAGAACGUAUUGAGGUUUAAAGCAGGGCUGUUAAAGCCCAGAGUUACAAUUCCAGCACCACUGCAGACCGCAGCACGUGGAUAACCCCACGCUGCUACACAUAUCAUCAUGAGGCUCAUGCGCCAUUCGGCUGGCGGCAGCCAAGUAUUCAUGCCGUGAACCCUGCUACUGCCCCUCACACACACCAACCCCCAAGCCACCCGCUGCUGCGUUACCACACGCCUCAAUGUGGAAACCUCCCUGCACUCGACCUACCUACCAACGUAUUUCCACCACCCCUACUCCCCAUGCAUGCGCAUACAUACACGCGAAGCAGUAACAUAACACAAGCAGUAAACACAAAGCAAGGAUGCUACGUGGAACGCGCCGCCACAUGAUCCGACGUCCAAACCCUGCUAUCCUGUCGGGUGGUGACAGUUCCC
rnacentral:lncRNA from 1 species